AGUGGGUGCGGGUGCCGAGAACUGCUCCGAGUGGGGAGGUGACCUGAGGAAGUCCUCCCGCGAGGGGCUUUUGCCAGGGAGACUCGAGGGUGGCCGACUGGUUUAAAAAAAAAAACAACAGGUGAUCCGGUAGCCAGGACUUUGGACGAGAGAAUGGCCCCGGGAACUGCUCCUAAAAGUGAUCAGCCUAAGGGGAAAUGAGAAAUCCCACGACAGGCUUUCCUAUGGGCUGACCUGGCUUCUCCCUCUGACGGUUUACCUGCUAGGAGCAGAAGUAGGUGCAGGCUCGCCUGUGAGGAACGGGACUUUUCUGCCCAGACACGUGCCGUUUUACAAUUUUAGUGUCAUCGACUCGACGGACAUGUGUUUGACCAAUUUCCAAGAGUUUUGGUAAUGGACGUGGAAGCCUGGCGCUCUGUAGUCCACGGGGUCACAGAGUCAGACACGACUGAGCGACUGAACUGAACUGAACAGGCUCUUCUGCUAAUUAGCUGCAAGGCCUAAGGAGCCAAACUGACUUCUCUAAGCCUCCCUUUCCUCAUCUAUGAAGGUCCAUACCUGUGCCAUAGUGACUGAUGAAGAAAUUCAGGACAAGAAACCCAGUGUCUUAUCCAAGGUCAAGCAGAAAGUCGGUGGCAGAAUUACAGCUGUGGUCCAUCGUGUCUAGAGAUGAUCUUGUUUCUUCUGGCAAUGUCUGGUAGGGGGAAGAAGGGAGAGUCUCAAUUAUGUUAAAG
ensembl:lncRNA